GUGAUUAGAUCGAGCGUGUCUUCAUUGACCGCUCACCCUUCUCACCAUCCACAUACACCUGUGCACUGUUUAGCCUGAGCCGGUUUUCCGGUCCAGGUUAUCAUUUCAUACAGAACUCUAGUCUUAUGAAUGUAAACGUUUUAAUAACAUAAUA
rnacentral:misc_RNA from 1 species